rnacentral:rRNA from 1 species
UACGUAGGAUGCAAGCGUUGUCCGGAUUUACUGGGCGUAAAGGGCGCGCAGGCGGCACUACAAGUAUUGGGUGAAAUCUCCCUGCUCAACGGGGAGGGUGCUUAGUAGACUGUAGAGCUAGAGGUGGGUAGAGGGUGGUGGAAUUCCUGGUGUAGCGGUGGAAUGCGCAGAUAUCAGGAGGAACACCGGUGGCGAAGGCGGGUCUCUGGGCAGUAACUGACGCUGAGGAGCGAAAGCGUGGGGAGCGAACAGG